rnacentral:rRNA from 1 species
GGGCACUCUAAGGGGACUGCCGGUGAUAAGCCGAGAGGAAGGUGGGGAGUGACGUCAAGUCCUCAUGGCCCUUACGGGCUGGGCUACACACGUGCUACAAUGGUGGUGACAGUGGGCAGUCGAGCACGCGAGUGUGAGCUAAUCUCCAAAAGCCAUCUCAGUUCGGAUUGCACUCUGCAACUCGAGUGCAUGAAGUUGGAAUCGCUAGUAAUCGCGGAUCAGCAUGCCGCGGUGAAUACGUUCCCGGGCCUU